rnacentral:rRNA from 1 species
UCGUGGAGUAAUCUGUCUGGUUAAUUCCGUUAACGAACAAGACCUUAACUUGCUAAUUGGAGUGUAUAUUGAAUAUGCACUUUCAUUAGAAGGACUAUGUAUCCAUAAUACAAGGAAGCGUGAGGCAAUAACA